rnacentral:rRNA from 1 species
CCGGUGAAGUGUUCGGAUUGCGGCGACGUGGGCGGUUCGCUGCCCGCGAACGUUGUGAGAAGUCCACUGAACCUUAUCAUUUAGAGGAAGGAGAAGUCGUAACAAGGUUUCCGUAGGUGAACCUGCGGAAGGAUCAUUG